rnacentral:rRNA from 1 species
CCUACGGGGGGCUGCAGUGGGGAAUAUUGCACAAUGGGGGAAACCCUGAUGCAGCAACGCCGCGUGAAGGAAGACGGUUUUCGGAUUGUAAACUUCUAUCAAUAGGGACGAAGAAAGUGACGGUACCUAAAUAAGAAGCCCCGGCUAACUACGUGCCAGCAGCCGCGGUAAUACGUAGGGGGCAAGCGUUAUCCGGAAUUACUGGGUGUAAAGGGUGAGUAGGCGGCACGGCAAGUAAGAUGUGAAAGCCCGAGGCUUAACCUCGGGAUUGCAUUUUAAACUGCUGAGCUAGAGUACAGGAGAGGAAAGCGGAAUUCCUAGUGUAGCGGUGAAAUGCGUAGAUAUUAGGAAGAACACCAGUGGCGAAGGCGGCUUUCUGGACUGAAACUGACGCUGAGGCACGAAAGCGUGGGGAGCGAACAGGAUUAGAUACCCGAGUAGUC